rnacentral:rRNA from 1 species
UCGAACGAGACCUUCGGGUCUAGUGGCGCACGGGUGCGUAACGCGUGGGAAUCUGCCCUUGGGUUCGGGAUAACAGUUGGAAACGACUGCUAAUACCGGAUGAUGACUUCGGUCCAAAGAUUUAUCGCCCAGGGAUGAGCCCGCGUCGGAUUAGCUAGUUGGUAGGGUAAAAGCCUACCAAGGCGACGAUCCGUAGCUGGUCUGAGAGGAUGAUCAGCCACACUGGGACUGAGACACGGCCCAGACUCCUACGGGAGGCAGCAGUGGGGAAUAUUGGACAAUGGGCGAAAGCCUGAUCCAGCAAUGCCGCGUGAGUGAUGAAGGCCUUAGGGUUGUAAAGCUCUUUUACCCGGGAUGAUAAUGACAGUACCGGGAGAAUAAGCCCCGGCUAACUCCGUGCCAGCAGCCGCGGUAAUACGGAGGGGGCUAGCGUUG